CGGCGGCUGCACUCACCCAGCAUCUGGCUGAAGAGCAGCUGCUCCAGGUCGCCCAGCACCGUCACCACCAGCUCGGGGUCCACCUUCAGAGCCCACCAGUGAUGCCACAACCUGCAGAAGAAGCCAAAGCUGCCACACUGGCCACAAGAAAAUCAAUCCUCCUCUUGUGCUCUCAGGGUUGAGGUUUCUCAGGAGAUGCCAGUUCCUGCUGGGAACCAGGCUUGGAGCAGUCCUUUUCCCACCACACACACCUCAGGUAUCUCCGAGGGCACCCAUUGCUCCACUGCCUCCAGCUGAGCAUGGUUGAGCCCUCCUCGGGCUUCACCCUGCUCUGGAGAUGCCAGGGGCUUCCUGGGGGAUGGCUGAGGGGAAAUGUGGAUGCAGUCCCACUUCCCUACACUGUGUCACCAGCUGGACCCAGGGAUGCCACCAAAGGGAUAAAUUAAAGUGGCUCCCACCAAGUCCCUAUUUCUGCCAGCAGCCCCAGGAGGAGCCACUGCCCCCUACUCAUCCAUCCCCAACCAGCCCAAACUAAAACCAUUCCUGGGCAAGAUUCAGCCCAUUUUUCUUCCCAAAUAAUUCUUCCUUUGCCUCCAGACUGAUUUUACCCCAUUCAAGCUCUGCCCCCAGAACUGAGUGCCCCUGGUGUGUGCCCCAUGUGUCACCAUGGCAGGGGAGCAGGCGAGCCCCCCGUCAUGCUGUGUCACGCUGGCAUCCUGCCACCUCUCUGCCCAGCUAAAGCAGGUCAUGGCUUGACCCAGUUACACCCAGCAGUUCCUUUGCAAUUAGCUCAAAAGGGAAACUACUUUCUCCUUCAAUGCAACCCAGGAACAGCUCUCGGGAACCAGCUGCUGCUCACCCUCCAGGUAACAUGAGCACCAGGAACUUGCACCUGAUGCUUUAAUUUGGGGACUUUCACCUGCUGGGUGAGUUUUUGGCCCGGUCACUUCCCCAGGUACCGGCUUAGGAUUGUUAGGUCCCAUGGUAGUGGAAAGCAGCAGGUGCACAUGAGGUAUUUUAGCACCAGAGGAUAUUUUGGAGCAGCUGCAGCAGUGCUGUGGGCAGCAGACCCCUGCAUGAGUGCCAGGGCUGAGCCUCCUGGGCAGCCAGAGGUGUUCACCUCCCAGCCAAGGGGAGGAUGCUCAUCCCAGCUGUCUCCAGAGCUCAGGUCUUGAGGUGGAACUUGAGUUUUCCCUGAGUUAAAGACCUUUAAUCCCAGGGGCAAGGUUGUUUCUGAUCCCUUCAGAUGAUGCUGUUCACAGAGAUGCGGGUGUUCACACUGAAGGAGAAUGACACAGACCUUGGACAAGCUGUGUCCUUCAUCCCAGGACAAACACAAACCAGCACAUCCCUGAAGGCAUCUUCCUCAAAGAGGCAUCUGUUGUGCCUGGAGCUUAAGCUGCUUCCUCAGCCCCGUGUCCAAAUCCAUCCCACACAUGCGAUUUUAGCAGCCAGAAAUGAACAGGGAUCUGGAGCCUGGUCUCAUUUCAUGUCCCCAUUUCCAUGACCCAGAGGGGUCACUGGAGCAUCCCCAGCAUUGAAGCAGAUCCAUUUUGGAGCCAUCCAUCACCUGAGCCAAGCUGGGAUCAGUCUAUGACACUGCAGGGGCUACACCAAAGAGCUGAAGCCCCCACAUCCCCCACAAUGCCUUGAAGGGAGCCAAUCUCUGUCUCUCCCGUGGUCCCAAGAGAACAGCUAACAGCUCUGGAAGUGUUUUGCUCUGUAUUUUGGGGAUGACUUUUAUAAACCAGAUAAAAUUCUCUCUUAUCUCUCACAGCUGAGAUCCCUGUCAGGGAUGAAACACUGCUCCAUGCCCCAGGGUAACUGUGGAAGGAGUCUGAGCAUGGACACUGAGUGAUGGAAAAGGUGUUCAACCCCUCAGCCUCUGCUGACAAAUUGCUGCCACUCCAUUCCUCAGUUUCCCCACCCUGACAUGGCCUCUGCAAAGGCUGAAGGAGCUGAAAUCAGGCUGAGAAAUAGCAAUAAAGGAGGAUGGAUCCUUCCCUGGGUGUCCUGGGUUGAAGAGCAGCUUUGUAAAUUGGGAACCAUCCUUGAGACACCCUUGGGACUGGCAGCACAGGAAUGCCAGGGGCUGCAGCAGAUCUGGACAUGUUGGGUGUCCCUGGGGAGAUACUCAGGGACUGCAAAGCAGUUUUAAAGGGUGUGGGUGGAGGGGUGAACCCCAGGCUGUGAGUGGCCUGAGGAGGUGAGCCCCGCCAAGAGUUCCGGUGCCGUGACACAGCUACUCCCAAAAGCUGCUCCCUGCACCUCGCAGCCCUGUGCAGGAUCCGGCUUCGAGCUGCCGUCAGGGAUGGCAGUGCUCCAGCACAGCCUCCUCCCUGGCACGCUCGGGAAGGGUGACAAAGAAAAGGCUCCUUGUGACACAAGAGACAUAAAACUUUCCUAAGAGAAACAAAGGGAGCCAGGGCAGAAAGGGGCCUUCAGAGGAGAACAAACUACUGAUUCAGCCACCAGCCCCAGCCCUCCAGCCCCUGUGCCCUGGCCGGGAGCUGGCCUGCCCACCACCGGUGUCACUGCCUGGGACAUUGCCACCAUCCACAUCGCCAGGGAACCAGGCUGGGUCCUUCCUCAGGGAGGUCUCACUGCUCCCCUCUCCCUGCCCCUCCAGAGGGCAAUGCCAGGGUAGAGGGUGUGCUCGCCAGGCUGGGUGCAGGCAGGUGGUUCUCCUGGGUGCAGUCAGUGGAUGGGCAGCUGGGAGGGAGGGGAGGCUGGGCAGGCCCAGCUCUUCCUGUCCUGGUUGGCUGUUCCCCUCAGCACGAUGCUGAGGGCUCUGGGAGCUGUUUGGAGAUGGGCUGUGCCCUGGGAGGAGCUGAAGGACAGAAACUGGCCGUUGUCUGAGCAGAGAUCAUUAAAAAAAUCACAGAA